GGAGGGGUACCCAAGCGGUCAACGGGAGCAGACUGUAAAUCUGCCGUCUUUCGACUACGUAGGUUCGAGUCCUACCCCCUCCACCA
rnacentral:tRNA from 1 species